GUUCCUAGACCAGGGAUAGAACCCACGUCCCCUGCAUUGGAAGGCUGAUUCUGUACUACUGGUACCACCAGGGAAAUCCCAAUUUCUCUAUCUUUAAAAUGAGGGAGUUAGACUAGAAUUCUUAGGGUCCUACCUACUCUAAUGUCCCUGGGUUGUCCCUGUGGGAACAAGAUAGUAUCUGUAAAUGUGUUUUGUCUGCUUACAUUUAAUGAAUUAUUUAGCCCGAUGUUUAUGGGAGCGUGCGUCCAUCACAUAAAGCCACAAAGCCUGCACCACCUUCAGCAGCGGGGCAAACCCAGAGAGGCUGGAGCCAGUGAGAAAAAUGACCUCCAUCUCCAAGAACAUGUUACUUCUUCCCCUCCAGACACUCUGGGAGUUGUCCCAGGUUAUUCCUGUUCGAAACUCCUUCCCCGCUACCAUCUAAUCUGUUACCAGGCCUCCUCCAUUCUGCUUCUGACGUUUCUCACCCUCCUGCCCCUGCCCUCCAUCCCUGGUACCUGCUUAGGACGGCUUUCAUCAUCUCUCACCUGGCCACUAAUAACUGCUUCCUAACUCAUGUCCUUCCACCUGUGCUGUCCUCCAAGAGAACCUCCCACCAGCUACAAGAGAAAUCUAAGCCACAAGACAGACUAUGCCCUUUCCCUACUAAGAACUUGUCAUGCCCACCACCUCCCACCACAAAGUGGGAGAGAUAAGAGAAUUGCAUAAAUACCCACUCUUUAUACAUUAGUAUCUUUUUUUUUUUUUUUUUUUUUUGGCCGCGCUGCGCAGCUUGCAGGGUCUCAGUUCCCUGACCGGGAAUGGAACCCAGGCCACAGCAAUGAAAGCCCAGAAUCCUAACCACUAGGCCACCAGGGAACUCCCAUACAUAUUAGUAGCUUAAGGUUGACAACGCCCAUUGCACUGUUGUGCCAUCUGAUUCCCAUACGGCCCUCGGACCCCAGCAGGAGGAACCCUUUGAAAAGUGAAAACCUGUGACCCAGGGCACUCCAGAAGGCAUGUCUGGACGCUAGAUCCCUGACCCCAGCCAGUCCUCUUUCUGGUGCUGCUUCCCUCCAAAGACUAGGUCUAAUUAGUUGCUAUGAACCAGUCUCACAUGUGGGUAACCACAAGGAUAGGACAGAGGCAAACCCCACGGAAAACAGCCUGGGACAUCACAAAGCAAAGUGUUGGAUGUCACCCUGACUGGGGUGGCCCAUGACAGCACUGUGGCUUCUAGGGGGCUUCCUGUAGCAGAAGUGUCCUUCCAUCCUCACCAGGACUCCAGGGGAGACUGGAGUUGCAGCAGCCACUUCAGGAGGUACAGAGUCGGAUGCAUGAUGUCGUGCCUCCCUGACUAGUAAUCCCAGCAACAGGUAAAGCCAGUGCAACAUGAAAUCUGCUGGCUGGUAAGGGCGCCCUCAUGUGUUACUAUGGGGUAAUGUCAACUCGAUCUUCGCAGCAGCAGCGCAAUUCCCCUUGGCAUCUCUCUCCUUCCUGCAUCUCUCUCCUCCCUGUGUUUCUCUCCUCCCUGCGUUUGUCUCUUUCUCACUUGCCUGUCAGACGACUUCAUGUGCUCGGAGAAGAAACACAGGCCGGGCUUCUGAGAGUGACCCCUCUGGCCAGACUGAACGUUUCGCCCCUUUAUACUCUACACACAUUUACGGGCUUAAAAAUGAUUGAGGAUCCCAGUAUGUGUACACCUUUGCUCAAAAGUCCCCUUUCAGAGAGGCUUCCUCUGGACACCCUAUUUAAAAUAACACCCCAUCCAUCAGUCCCUGGCAUCUUACGCUGCUUGAUUUUACUCACCACAUGCCGCGCCACAUGGAGUGUGGGAUCCUAGUUCCCCCACCAGGGACUGAACCUGUGCCCCCUGCACUGGAAGCGUGAAACCCUAAACACUGGACCGCCGGGGAAUUCCCCACUUCUCCAUCUUUAAAAUGAGAGGGUUGGACUAGAAUUCUCAGGGUCCUACUAGCUCUAACAUCCCAUACUUUUGUUUAUAUCCCUGUGUUGGAAAAUGACUUGUGAGUGAGAACCAAAUUGUAUCUAUAAAUACG